rnacentral:lncRNA from 1 species
UGAAAGUGAAAUUCAAGCGGGCGCGGAUGCCAUCGAAUGGGCUCUUUGCCACAGAAUGUGAUGUCUUAGAAUCUCCUUCCUUGAAAGCUUCCGUUUUUCAGUUCAGAAUCCGAUGUGAGGAAAAGAAUCCUAGGUCAAGGCAGUAGCACGGUACGGGAUCAUAGAAAAGCCCCGUACCUAUUGCUAUCAAGCGGGCGCGGAUGCCAUCAAAUGGGCUCUUUGCCACAUAAUGUGAUGUCUUAGAAUCUCCUUCCUUGAAAGCUUCCGUUUUUCAGUUGAGAAUCCGAUGUGAGGAAAAGAAUCCUAGGUCAAGGCAGUAGCACGGUACGGGAUCAGUCCCUUGUUCUCAGUGCAACGUGUGAAAUGACUUAGUCAAGAGAUCGAUCUUAGGAUACCGGCAAAGGAAGAAGGUGGAUACUACUUUGAUUCCGAUUCGGGCGGAGGAAGAC